GUCAGCACCCCGCUCUGAAGAUACGGGGCUUCAUGCCUCUGAUUUGGAUAGCUGACCAGCCUAAGCCUUAACUGGCUACGUUAUCGGGAAGCGUUAAAGUUCUUACCUUGGGAUGCGUAGCUAGUCCCAAGCUCUAAA
rnacentral:sRNA from 1 species